rnacentral:rRNA from 1 species
UACGUAGGGCGCAAGCGUUGUCCGGAAUUAUUGGGCGUAAAGAGCUCGUAGGCGGCUUGUCACGUCGGGUGUGAAAGCCCGGGGCUUAACCCCGGGUCUGCAUUCGAUACGGGCUAGCUAGAGUGUGGUAGGGGAGAUCGGAAUUCCUGGUGUAGCGGUGAAAUGCGCAGAUAUCAGGAGGAACACCGGUGGCGAAGGCGGAUCUCUGGGCCAUUA